rnacentral:guide_RNA from 1 species
AGUGGUGCAAUACAACAAAUACAAAUUCAAGUAGAUGAUACAAUGGUGCAG